rnacentral:rRNA from 1 species
GAUGAACGCUGGCGGCGUGCCUAAUACAUGCAAGUCGAGCGAACAGACGAGGAGCUUGCUCCUCUGACGUUAGCGGCGGACGGGUGAGUAACACGUGGAUAACCUACCUAUAAGACUGGGAUAACUUCGGGAAACCGGAGCUAAUACCGGAUAAUAUAUUGAACCGCAUGGUUCAAUAGUGAAAGACGGUUUUGCUGUCACUUAUAGAUGGAUCCGCGCCGCAUUAGCUAGUUGGUAAGGUAACGGCUUACCAAGGCAACGAUGCGUAGCCGACCUGAGAGGGUGAUCGGCCACACUGGAACUGAGACACGGUCCAGACCCCUACGGGAGGCAGCAGUAGGGAAUAUUCCGCAAUGGGCGAAAGCCUGAAGGAGCCAAGCCGCGUGGGUGAAGAAGGUCUUCGGGUCGUAAAACUCUGUUAUUAGGGAAGAACAAAUGUGUAAGUAACUAUGCACGUCUUGACGGUACCUAAUCAGAAAGCCACGGCUAACUACGUG